UAGCUACAAAAUAAUUUAUUUUGUAGCCACUUUGAUUUACGAUAAUUACUAUAUUAAUUUACAAGAUUAUAGUAACUCCUUACUAAGUGGUUUACUAUAACAUUACGGUAAAUAUCUCCAGAUGUUAUAGUAACCCCAACUAUCGUAAAUAUGUAUACAUAUUAUCGUAAAUUAGUAUAUAAAAUUAUCGUAAAUGGAGGUGGCUACAGAAUAUCACAUUUUGUAGCUA
rnacentral:pre_miRNA from 1 species